rnacentral:rRNA from 1 species
CCUACGGGAGGCAGCAGUGAGGAAUAUUGGUCAAUGGACGAGAGUCUGAACCAGCCAAGUAGCGUGAAGGAUGACUGCCCUAUGGGUUGUAACCUUCUUUUAUAAAGGAAUAAAACGAGGCACGUGUGCCUUUUUGCAUGUACUUUAUGAAUAAGGAUCGGCUAACUCCGUGCCAGCAGCCGCGGUAAUACGGAGGAUCCGAGCGUUAUCCGGAUUUAUUGGGUUUAAAGGGAGCGUAGAUGGGUUGUUAAGUCAGUUGUGAAAGUUUGCGGCUCAACCGUAAAAUUGCAAUUGAUACUGGCAGUCUUGAGUACAGUAGAGGUAGGCGGAAUUCGUGGUGGAGCGGUGAAAUGCUUAGAUAUCACGAAGAACCCCGAUUGCGAAGGCAGCUUACUAAACUGUGACUGACAUUGAUGCUCGAAAGUGUGGGUAUCAAACAGGAUUAGAUACCCGUGUAGUC